rnacentral:tRNA from 1 species
GCAGUCGUGGCCGAGUGGUUAAGGUGACGGACUAGAAAUCCGUUGGAAUCUUCCCGCAUAGGUUCGAAUCCUAUCGACUGCG